UACGGAGGGUGCAAGCGUUAAUCGGAAUUACUGGGCGUAAAGCGUGUGCAGGCGGUUUGUUAAGUCUGUUGUGAAAUCCCCGAGCUCAACUUGGGAAUUGCAAUGGAUACUGGCAGGCUGGAGUAUGGUAGAGGAAGGUGGAAUUCCCGGUGUAGCAGUGAAAUGCGUAGAGAUCGGGAGGAACACCAGUGGCGAAGGCGGCUCUCUGGGACGGUACUGACGCUGAGACGCGAAAGCGUGGGGAGCGAACAGG
rnacentral:rRNA from 1 species